rnacentral:rRNA from 1 species
GAUGAACGCUGGCGGCGUGCCUAAUACAUGCAAGUCGAGCGAACGGACGAGAAGCUUGCUUCUCUGAUGUUAGCGGCGGACGGGUGAGUAACACGUGGAUAACCUACCUAUAAGACUGGGAUAACUUCGGGAAACCGGAGCUAAUACCGGAUAAUAUUUUGAACCGCAUGGUUCAAAAGUGAAAGACGGUCUUGCUGUCACUUAUAGAUGGAUCCGCGCUGCAUUAGCUAGUAGGUAAGGUAACGGCUUACCAAGGCAACGAUGCAUAGCCGACCUGAGAGGGUGAUCGGCCACACUGGAACUGAGACACGGUCCAGACUCCUACGGGAGGCAGCAGUAGGGAAUCUUCCGCAAUGGGCGAAAGCCUGACGGAGCAACGCCGCGUGAGUGAUGAAGGUCUUCGGAUCGUAAAACUCUGUUAUUAGGGAAGAACAUAUGUGUAAGUAACUGUGCACAUCUUGACGGUACCUAAUCAGAAAGCCACGGCUAACUACGUG